GGAAAAAGCGGGAACUGCUGCUAAUACCGGAUGUGCCGAAAGGUGAAAGAUUUAUUGCCUGAAGAUGAGCUCGCGUCUGAUUAGCUAGUAGGUGGGGUAAGAGCGCACCUAGGCGACGAUCAGUAGCUGGUCUGAGAGGACGAUCAGCCACACUGGGACUGAGACACGGCCCAGACUCCUACGGGAGGCAGCAGUGGGGAAUUUUCCGCAAUGGGCGAAAGCCUGACGGAGCAAUACCGCGUGAGGGAGGAAGGCUCUUGGGUUGUAAACCUCUUUUCUCAAGGAAGAAUACAGUGACGGUACUUGAGGAAUAAGCAUCGGCUAACUCCGUGCCAGCAGCCGCGGUAAUACGGAGGAUGCAAGCGUUAUCCGGAAUGAUUGGGCGUAAAGCGUCCGCAGGUGGCCAUGUAAGUCUGCUGUCAAAAGAGUGUAAGCUCACCCUCGUAAAAAGCAGUG
rnacentral:rRNA from 1 species